CCCACUCUCCUAUAUCUCUCCCUUAUCUCCACGCGGACCACGCCAAGCCUCAGACUUCCAUUCUCUUUUGAUUUUUUUUUGUUUUUUUCCUUUCUUUCUUUUUCUCCCUUAAAUCCACUCCUCCAUCUCUCUUCUUUUCUUUUUCUUUCACUCUUCUUUCACUUCACGCCUGAAUUGAUUAUUUUCUCUUCCUCUCUAUUUUGAUUUUAUUUCUUUUGUUUUAUUUGUGGUGGUGUUAAUGUUUGUGGCUUUUGGAUUUGGGUGUUGCAGCUUAUUGAUUUUGUUCAAAUUUAUAAAUGGUGUUUGAAGCCAUUGGUUGUAUAGUUGCAGGUUGGUCUGUGGCGGCUGAAUGUGUUGGGGUGGAGUUCUUAUUUUAUUUUUUUAAUUUUUGCAUGUGAGCAUGUUGUUUGAUUUUGAAUUUUUUUUAGGUGGAUUUGUGCUUCAUUUUGAAUUUACUAGGAUAGCUAUAGUGUUUGUACUUGGAGUUGCUUUUUUUUUUUUUUUUUUAAUUUUUGGAUGUGAGCAUGAUGUGUUUGAAUUUAAUUUUUUUAGGUGGGUUUGUGUUUCAUUUUGAAUUUGCUUGGAUAGCUAUAGUGUUUGUAUUUUGUUUUGUUUUGUAUCUUUUAAUUUAAUUAAAAUUGUAAUAUUAAUUUAAUUACAAUCUUAAUUCAAUUAAAAAAAAACUUUUUCACGUCAAAAAAAAAAUUCUUUUGAUUACCAAAAAUUAUUUUUUGGUAAUCAGUUUUUUUUUUUUUUUUUUUGGGUGGUUUUUUGGCUAUAGUGGCGUUUCACUAUAGGCAGCAAAAUCAAGAGCUUGAGCGUUGGACUGGAAAGCCAGUCCCAUAUGGAAACCGAAACCUAUAUCUUUUUGAUAACUGGAACGGUGAUAAGCUCUCAUUCAUGAAAGAGGUGGGGGAGAUCUUAGAGCUUGAUGGCAAAUCUGUUGUGAAUAUCCUAGUAAUUACAGAAGUGGCAGCAGAAAUUUUAACAAUGAAAAAUGGGUUGAAGUUGACAUGGCCAUCUGAAUUAUUUGUGCAUAUUCCUCCAGAGCUCUCGCAUAAUUAUGCGAGAGCUCUGGGGGAACAUGCACAGCUAAUUCAGAUUAUGCAAGAGCUCUGGGAGAACAUGCACAACUAAUCGUCAAGGUAAUUUCGCUUGCCUUUGUCAUGGAGAAUUGCGUCCAUAUAACUGUCGUAAUUAGCAUCUUGCUUGGAGAUUUGAGGCGAGAGAGCUUAAAUCUGUGACCCUAAUGGUAUCUACUGCUACACCUGCAAGUAAUAAGAUGCUUUUCAAACAUUUCUUUCAGCUAGAAUAAAGUCCCAAAAUUUGUUGGGAAUAUGUGUGGCAGGUUUUUCCUAUUUUCAUGAGGAACAGUGAGUUGUACUCUUUAAUGUUUUGCAGGUUGUAUUAUGGUUGCGUUAUGUACAAUUUGAAGCUUUAGAGUUAUUGCACUAAUUCAUGUAAAAUAUUAUGUCUA